rnacentral:tRNA from 1 species
CAGAGCAUCACUUAAAUAAAGUAGUUCGCUUACGCCGAAUUUAUGUCCGUUAAAAUCAGACUGCUCCGCG